rnacentral:rRNA from 1 species
AUAAGCUGCUUAUGCCAGCCAGGGGAUGGCUCGGCUCAAGUGCUGAAGAAGGACGUGCCAAGCUGCGAUAAGCCUCGGCGAGGCGCAUGGAGCCAUUGAACCGAGGAUGUCCUAAUGGGAAAUCCUAAGUCUAAGACUUGAUCCUCAAGGAUCGGGAACGUCCCGGAUUGAAACAUCUUAGUAGGGACAGGAAGAGAAAUCAACCGAGAUACCGUCAGUAACGGCGAGUGAACGCGGUAGAGCCUAAACCGAAUCCUGCAAGGGAGAUGUGGUGUUAUAAGCUGGUCUAAACGUUUUGAUCUGGAAGUCGAAGUGGCCUGGAAUGGCCUGCCAUAGAGUGUGAGAGCCACGUAGUCGUAACAGAUCAAUACCGAGACCAUGACUUGAGUACCGUGCGUCGGAAAUCGCGCGGGAAUUUGGGGGUCACCAACCUCCAAGGCUAAAUACAACUUGAGACCGAUAGCGUAGUAGUAGUGUGAACGAAAGCUGAAAAGUACCCCAAAUAGGGAGGUGCAAAGAGCCUGAAAUUGGCUGGCGAUAGUGCGUUAGGGCGCCAAAGGAUCUUUCUUUCGAAGGAAACGGUGGCAACGCCGCAGUACGAGAGAGACUGCCAGCGUUCUAACAUGCGUUUUGAAGAACGAACCAGGGAGUGCAUAUUGGCGGCGAGGCUAAUUCUUUAACAGAGGAAGCCGUAGCGAAAGCGACAAGCGCGCAUGAGAAGAGGCGCGACGUAUACAAGUGCGUGCAGUCGUCCGUAUGCGACCCGAAGCCGGGCGAUCUAGGCGUAGGUAGGUCGAAGCGUGGCGAAAGCUGCGUGGAGGACCGUUUGAGGUGUUGAUAUGCAAAUCGCUCUCGUGACCCGCGUCUAGGGGUGAAAGUCCAAUCGAGGUCGGAAAUAGCUGGUUCCUCCCGAAACAUAUCGCAGUAUGACCUGGUCUGAGAUAGUCGGCGGAGUAGAGCACUGAUUGGGGAAGCCGGACUCGAAAGGGUCUGUUCUCUUGUCAAACUCCAAAACCGCCGUCGUCGUAGACGACCAGCAGUCCGGGCUGGGGGGUAAGCUUCUAGUCCGUGAGGGAGACAACCCUGACCGUGGUUAAGGUCCCCAAAUAUCGGCCAAGUGUCAACACUUAAGGGAGUCCUGGGUCAUAAACAACUGGGAGGUUAGCUUAGAAGCAGCUAUCCUUUAAAGAGUGCGUAACAGCUCACCAGUCGAGAUUCAGGGCCCCGAAAAUGGACGGGGCUAAGCCGAUUACCGAUACCACGGAGCACCGCAAGGUGAUCUAGUAGGGAGGCGCUCUGCGUGGGCAGAAGCAUCUGCGUGAGCAGGUGUGGACCGCGUAGAGACGAAAAUCCUGGUAGCAGUAGCAGCAAAAUCGGGUGAGAAUCCCGAUCGCCGUAAGGGCCAGGGUUCCUCGGCAAUGUUCGUCAGCCGAGGGUCAGUCGGUCCUAAGACGUACCUUAAUCGGAGUACGCCAAAUGGGAAACAGGUUAAUAUUCCUGUACCUUUCAACAUUAAAACUGACGCUUCCGGAUAUGUCAAGCGUCCUUGCCUGGGCGUUCAAUCGUAUAAUCCUGUGGAGAGCCGUAAUGGCGAGAACCAGGAGAAAGCGUGAUGACGUAAGUUGGCAAAUUCCAGGAGUCCGUGAAAAGGGAGUUGAAAGUCCGUACCGAGAUCCAACACUGGUGCCCCAAGCUGAGAAGGCUAAGGCGUUUCGGCAUAUGCUAGCUAAGGGAAUUCGGCAAAUUAGCCACGUAACUUCGGGAUAAGUGGUGCCUGCUUUGCAAAAAGCAGGUCGCAGUGACGAGGGGACUCUAACUGUCUAAUAACAACAUAGGUGAUUGCGAAUCCGUAAGGACUAGUACAAUCACUGAAUCCUGCCCAGUGCAGGUACCUGAAAACCCGGUUCAACGGGAGGAAGGGCCUGUCAACGGCGGGGGUAACUAUGACCCUCUUAAGGUAGCGUAGUACCUUGCCGCUUAAUUGGCGGCUUGCAUGAAUGGAACAAUGAGAGUCUCACUGUCCCUAGCUGGUACCCGGUGAACCUUACAUUCCAGUGCAGAGUCUGGAGACCCCUAAUGGGAAGUGAAGACCCCGUGGAGCUUUACUGCAGCCUGCCGUUGGGCUGUGGUUCUGAUUGUAGAGCAUAGGUAGGAGACGUCGAAGCUCGGGCGCCAGUCCGAGUGGAGUCGCCCUUGGAAUACUACCCUUUCGGAGCCGCCGCCCUCACUCUGAGAAGAGGACCUCGGUAGGUGGGCAGUUUGGGUGGGGCGCCACGCCCUUGAAAAGAUAUCAAGGGCGCCCUAAGGUUGACUCAGUUGGGUCGGAAACCCAACAAAGAGUGUAAAGGCAUAAGUCAGCCUGAUGUUACCUCGCAUAGCAAGAGGUGAUAAGACGAAAGUCGGGCUUAGCGAACCUCUCAGCUCUCUUGGUGAGAGCGUUAGAUGACAGAAAAGCUACCCCGGGGAUAACAGAGUCGUCACCGGCAAGAGCACAUAUCGACCCGGUGGCUUGCUACCUCGAUGUCGGUUCUUUCCAUCCUGGCCGUGCAGCAGCGGCCAAGGGUGAGGUUGUUCGCCUAUUAAAGGAGAUCGUGAGCUGGGUUUAGACCGUCGUGAGACAGGUCGGUUACUAUCUAUUAGGGGUGUUUUGUGGUCUGAGGGUAAGCUGGUUUUAGUACGAGAGGAACAAGCCAGCGGCGCCACUGGUCGAUCGGUUGUCUGGCAAGGCACUGCCGAGCAGCUACGCGCUAACGGAUAAGGGCUGAAAGCAUCUAAGCCCGAAGCUGUGCCUGAAAAGAGACCACUCUGAGGACCCUCGUAAAAGACGAGUUUGAUAGAGUCGGGGUGUACGCACCGAGGCAACGAGGUGUUCAGCCCGCGACUACUAAAAGUCCGCUCAGCAGUC